rfam:Neotoma lepida isolate 417 scaffold_1204, whole genome shotgun sequence.
AUAUUUUAUGAAACGAAAGGUUAGUACCACCUCUGACAAAGAGGGAAGAGGUCUACAAACCCAACAAGAUAUGUGUGAUUAAGACCCAGUCACCUACUUUGUGACAGCUAAUUACUGCUUUGA